rnacentral:rRNA from 1 species
GACGAACGCUGGCGGCGUGCUUAACACAUGCAAGUCGAACGCUGAAGCUCAGCUUUUGUUGGGUGGAUGAGUGGCGAACGGGUGAGUAACACGUGAGUAACCUGCCUCCUUCUUUGGGAUAACGCCCGGAAACGGGUGCUAAUACUGGAUAUUCACUGGUCUUCGCAUGGGGGUUGGUGGAAAGGGUUUUUCUGGUGGGGGAUGGGCUCGCGGCCUAUCAGCUUGUUGGUGGGGUGAUGGCCUACCAAGGCUUUGACGGGUAGCCGGCCUGAGAGGGUGACCGGUCACAUUGGGACUGCGAUACGGCCCAGACUCCUACGGGAGGCAGCAGUGGGGAAUAUUGCACAAUGGGCGCAAGCCUGAUGCAGCGACGCCGCGUGAGGGAUGGAGGCCUUCGGGUUGUGAACCUCUUUCGCUCAUGGUCAAGCCGCAACAAUGGUUGUGGUGAGGGUAGUGGGUAAAGAAGCGCCGGCUAACUACGU